rnacentral:rRNA from 1 species
GACUACCGGGGUAUCUAAGCCUGUUUGCUCCCCACGCUUUCGCACAUGAGCGUCAAUCGACGGCCAGGUAGUCGCCUUCGCCACUGGUGUUCUUCCGAAUAUCUACGAAUUUCACCUCUACACUCGGAAUUCCACUACCCUCUCCGUGAUUCAAGCCUGACAGUAUCAAAAGCAGUUCCCAGGUUAAGCCCGGGGCUUUCACUUCUGACUGAUCAGACCGCCUGCGUGCGCUUUACGCCCAGUAAUUCCGAACAACGCUAGCCCCCUUCGUAUUACCGCGGCUGCUGGCACGAAGUUAGCCGGGGCUUCUUCUACGGGUACCGUCAUCAUCGUCCCCGUCGAAAGAGCUUUACAACCCUAAGGCCUUCAUCACUCACGCGGCAUGGCUGGAUCAGGCUUGCGCCCAUUGUCCAAUAUUCCCCACUGCAGCCCCCCGUAGG